UUACGGCCACAUCAUGUUGCAACACCAGUUCCCGUACGAUCACCUAAGUUAAGAAACGUCGAGCCUGAUCAGGGCCAAGAAGGGUGACCACUUGUGAAUAGCAGGUGCUU